rnacentral:lncRNA from 1 species
UAUUGCACCACUAUCACGGUCAUCAUCCCGAAGAAGCCACUUUGAUGCUCCACGAUCUCGCUCAUCACCACGAUCACGCUGAUCACCACUAUCCCUCAAGUCACCACGAUCCCGGUAAUCACCAUGAAGCGGCCGCUAUCAGUGCGGCCACUGGACUUUCGACAGACGGUCAUG